GUAGUCAUAUGCUUGUCUCAAAGAUUAAGCCAUGCAUGUCUAAGUAUAAGCAAUCUAUACUGUGAAACUGCGAAUGGCUCAUUAAAUCAGUUAUAGUUUAUUUGAUAGUACCUUUACCUGGAUAACCGUGGUAAUUCUAGAGCUAAUACAUGCUAAAAACCCCGACUUCGGAAGGGGUGUAUUUAUUAGAUAAAAAACCAAUGCCCUUCGGGGCUCCUUGGUGAUUCAUAAUAACUCAACGAAUCGCAUGGCCUUGCGCCGGCGAUGGUUCAUUCAAAUUUCUGCCCUAUCAACUUUCGAUGGUAGGAUAGUGGCCUACCAUGGUCUCAACGGGUAACGGGGAAU
rnacentral:rRNA from 1 species